rnacentral:rRNA from 1 species
AACCUCCGCAAUGUGAGAAAUCGCGACGGGGGGAUCCCAAGUGCCAUUCUUAACGGGAUGGCUUUUCAUUAGUGUAAAGAGCUUUUGGAAUAAGAGCUGGGCAAGACCGGUGCCAGCCGCCGCGGUAACACCGGCAGCUCUAGUGGUAGCAAUUUUUAUUGGGCCUAAAGCGUCCGUAGCCGGUUUAAUAAGUCUCUGGUGAAAUCCUGUAGCUUAACUGUGGGAAUUGCUGGAGAUACUAUUAGACUUGAGACCGGGAGAGGUUAGAGGUACUCCCAGGGUAGAGGUGAAAUUCUGUAAUCCUGGGAGGACCGCCUGUUGCGAAGGCGUCUAACUGGAACGGUUCUGACGGUGAGGGACGAAAGUUAGGGGCGCGAACCGGAUUGGAUACCCGGGUAGUCCUAACUGUAAACGAUGCGGACUUGGUGUUGGGGUGGCUUUGAGCUGCUCCAGUGCCGAAGGGAGCUGUAAGUCCGCCGCCUGGGAAGUACGGUCGCAAGACUGAAACUUAAAGGAAUU